GGCCAGCCGGCAAGGAACCAGCCGCUACUGGGGAGAAGCAACGCCCAUGCAAUUAUCCUGCUAGCACACUUAUAGGUAUGCAACAUCGUCUGACUGACUUUGGCUGAUCUCCAAAAUCUAAACAAAAUUGGAUCUGGCUAAUAUUUGAUAGGAGACCACCAGGAAAUACACAGACAUUCCAGAAGAAAACAAUGACAAGCCACUUGGGUACCACUGCCCAAAAGGCCUCCAUGUCUGUGUUCACAAAAUCACCAAGAACCAAGUUUGACUCAGAUACAACUUUGCUAUUACAUAUUUUCUUUGAAAAUACUGGUUGGUGAAAACAGAUUUUGGCUGCAAUCCUGAACAGAGUUUCUACAAGAUCACCCUUGUUAAAUAGAACAGGCCUAUUUCUGAGAAAAUAAGCAUGAGGUUGGGUGUCUGCGUAUUAAUUCAUAACCCAGAGGACAUUUGAUACUGAUAGUCACAUAUUUUUUUCGUAAUAUUUGAAGUUAUGCAAUAAAAAGAUAAUGUUUAUUGAAGGUUUACUUUUUCCAA